rnacentral:rRNA from 1 species
UACGGAGGGUGCAAGCGUUAAUCGGAAUUACUGGGCGUAAAGCGCUCGUAGGCGGUUUGUUAAGCUAGCUGUGAAAGCCCCGGGCUCAACCUGGGAAUUGCAGUUAGAACUGGCAAGCUAGAGUACAGUAGAGGGGUGUGGAAUUUCAGGUGUAGCGGUGAAAUGCGUAGAUAUCUGAAGGAACAUCAGUGGCGAAGGCGACACCCUGGACUGAUACUGACGCUGAGGAGCGAAAGCGUGGGGAGCAAACAGG